GCCGCAGUCCCGUGCUCACCCCUCAUCUGCCGCAUCUCAUUCAGGGCUGACCACAAAUGGGAGGUCAGUUCCACUGCAACAUGCCUGAAGGUACAACCCCAUAUGAAAUUUGCAGUUAAGAUUCUGUUAUCUGGCAGGGGCAGGAAGGCUUUUGAAUGAGGCUUGGACAAAUUGUGUAUGGUAUGCAAGGAGCAGGGAGUUUGACGAUGGCUUUGCCUGCCAUGAAAGGGAGAAUCUCAGACUACAAAGGAAAACCAGCGCCUCUGGAAGUAGGGCCUGGCUCCAGCCUCUGAGAGGGGCAGGCCACCCUCCCCAGAACACAGCAGCUGAAA
rnacentral:lncRNA from 10 species